rnacentral:rRNA from 1 species
CCUACGGGAGGCAGCAGUAGGGAAUAUUGCUCAAUGGGGGAAACCCUGAAGCAGCAACGCCGCGUGGAGGAUGAAGGUUCUCGGAAUGGUAACCCCCUUUGUUAGAGAAGCUAAUGACGGUAUCUGUCGCAUAAGCAGUGGCUAACUCCGAGCCAGCAGCCGCAGCAACACGGAGGGUGCAGGCGUUAAUCGGAAUCACUGGGCGUAAAGGGCGCGUAGGCGGGAUAGCAAGUCAGAUGUGAAAUUCUAGGGCUUAACCAGAGGACUGCAGUUGAAACUGGUAGUCUAGAGUAGGGGAGAGGUAGGUGGAAUUCUUGGUGUAGGGGUGAAAUCCGUAGAGAUCGAGAGGAAUACUCAUUGCGAAGGCGGCAUGCUAGAACAUAACUGACGCUGAUGCACGAAAGCGUGGGGAGCGAACAGGAUUAGAUACCCGAGUAGUC